GAUUGUUGUCACGUCACGGAUCGGGGAAGCAGGAGCAGGAAGACGGAGAAUCGGGAAACAAAGGAUUUAUUGGGGAAACCAGCUAGGAACACGGAACAAUAGAAGUAGCGACUUAAAUGACAUGAUUGGGGAAACAUAUUUUGAAGCGGAGUUAAAUACAUAGGACUAAUGAAAACAACUGGAAACAGCGAAUGACAUCGGGGUUCCACACGAGGUUAACGAGGGGGCGUGGCACACGGGAGGAGCGGACAAGCGGCGCAUGACAAUUUGAGUUGCAGGGAUUUGACAAAAACAUCCUUUUAGAAAUGCGUGAGGAAGGUCAAGACUCUGGUCUCCAGCUCACCGCUCUCUCUUACAUUUCCAUG